rnacentral:rRNA from 1 species
GACGCAACGCGAAAANCCUUACCUACCCUUGACAUGCCUGGAACCCUGCAGAGAUGUGGGAGUGCUCGAAAGAGAGCCAGGACACAGGUGCUGCAUGGCCGUCGUCAGCUCAUGUCGUGAGAUGUUGGGGUAAGUCCCGCAACGAGCGCAACCCUUGUCAUUAGUUGCUACGAAAGGGCACUCUAAUGAGACUGCCGGUGACAAACCGGAGGAAGGUGGGGAUGACGUCAGGUCAUCAUGGCCCUUAUGGGUAGGGCUACACACGUCAUACAAUGGCCGGUACAGAGGGCUGCCAACCCGCGAGGGGGAGCCAAUCCCAGAAAACCGGUCGUAGUCCGGAUCGCAGUCUGCAACUCGACUGCGUGAAGUCGGAAUCGCUAGUAAUCGCGGAUCAGCUUGCCGCGGUGAAUACGUUCCCGGGUCUUGUACACACCGCCCGUCACACCAUGGGAGCGGGUUCUGCCAGAAGUAGUUGGCCUAACCGCAAGGGGGGCGAUUACCACGGCAGGGUUCGUGACUGGGGUGAAGUCGUAACAAGGUAGCCGUAUCGGAAGGUGCGGCUGGAUCACCUCCUUA